UCAGAAAGAAUAAACAUCAUUGUAUCAUC
rnacentral:sRNA from 1 species